UUUUCCUUCAAGCAGAUGUCAACAUGUUUCCAAUUACUGGAGUACCAUGGCUAUUUUAACUGUUGACCUUGCAGGUGCUAAUUUGGCAAUGGGAAGGAGGUAGGAGAGCUGUUUUUUUCCCCCUCAGAACUCCCUAGGAGGCUUCGAUUGUCAGCUGCAGAAUGAGCAUGCUCACAAAGUCCGUUUUCCUGGGUGAGAGUCAAGUUCCAGUGCAGGUGAGAGUCAAACCAGUGCUGGUGAUUCCCACUGAUUCUGGCAGCCUUGGAGAGGAAACACUGGGAUAAGACAAGGCUUAACCACCUCCAGGGAAGGGAAAGAGCCUCCUCAUAGGAAAUGUUCCUGAUUUUGGCAGGAGGGAGCACAGAAUGAUAGGUCAAGUAGUGACUUUUUCAACUUAGUUUCUGAGUCAGAGCUGGGGGAAAUGACUUCAUCUCCUCUGCUUAGGGGACCCUGCGAUGUCAGAACAGCUGGAAGAAAGGCAGAUGAUGCAAUCUGUCCUCCUGGGACUUUGUGUGCCUGAUGCCAAACACUGGAGUUCUUGGAACCAACUUCAUGAUUGCUGACCUUGAUCAUUCAACUCCACUUGCUCAUCAAACUCAGUUCUUUAAGAACCCGAGUCAGACUAGAGUUUUCAGGGAAACCAAGGCUUGUAACUGAGGAAUUUUCCUGGAAGAAUUCUAAUCUUCCUAUAAAGAGCUUUCAAGUAAAAUUUUUGAACAAGCAGAAAUCUUAUUAGAAUAAAAGUAGGUUCUGGUGAUGCUGAACUGUUGGGCUGUUUGUGCUGGAGGAGGUGGAAGGUGGCUUGGACACAGCUCUGGAGUAGGCAGAACACUUAAAUGCCUAGUGGAAGAAAAGAAGAGAGGAAAGAGAAAUAGUGGGGCUUUUGUAAGAUAUCUUUGCAUCUCUGCCAGCAACAGUUGUAAGAUGCUGCCC
rnacentral:lncRNA from 1 species